GACAGAGGGUGCAAACGUUGUUCGGAAUUACUGGGCGUAAAGCGCGUGUAGGCUGCUCUGUGUGUCGGAUGUGAAAGCCCCGGGCUCAACCUGGGAAGUGCACUCGAAACUACAGAGCUGGAGUCUCGGAGAGGAUCGCGGAAUUCUCGGUGUAGAGGUGAAAUUCGUAGAUAUCGAGAGGAACACCGGUGGCGAAGGCGGCGAUCUGGACGAUGACUGACGCUGAGACGCGAAAGCGUGGGGAGCAAACAGGAUUAAGAAACCCUGGGUAGUCCAAGAACCGA
rnacentral:rRNA from 1 species